GACGAACGCUGGCGGCGUGCUUAACACAUGCAAGUCGAACGGUGAAAGCGGAGCUUGCUCCGCUGGAUCAGUGGCGAACGGGUGAGUAACACGUGGGCAACCUGCCCCUCACUUCGGGAUAACUCCGGGAAACCGGGGCUAAUACCGGAUAUGACCUCCUUGGGCAUCCUUGGAGGUGGAAAGUUUUUCGGUGAGGGAUGGGCCCGCGGCCUAUCAGCUUGUUGGUGAGGUAGUGGCUCACCAAGGCGACGACGGGUAGCCGGCCUGAGAGGGCUACCGGCCCGACUGGGACGGAGACACGGCCCAGACUCCUACGGGAGGCAGCAGUGGGAAAUAUUGCGCAAUGGGCGAAAACCUGACGCAGCAACGCCGCGUGCGGGAUGACGGCUUUCGGGUUGUAAACCGCUUUCAGCAGGGAAGAAGCCGCAAGGUGACGGUACCUGCAGAAGAAGCACCGGCUAACUACGUGCCAGCCGCCGCGGUAA
rnacentral:rRNA from 1 species